rnacentral:rRNA from 1 species
AUAUCAAUAAGCGGAGGAAAAGAAACUAACAAGGAUUCCCUUAGUAACUGCGAGUGAAGUGGGAAAAGCUCAAAUUUAAAAUCUGGCAGUCAUUUGGCUGUCCGAGUUGUAAUCUAGAGAAGUGUUGCCCGUGCUGGACCAUGUACAAGUCUCCUGGAAUGGAGCAUCAUAGAGGGUGAGAAUCCUGUCUUUGACAUGGACUACCAGUGCUUCUGUGGCAUGCUCUCAAAGAGUCGAGUUGUUUGGGAAUGCAGCUCAAAAUGGGUGGUAAAUGCCAUCUAAAGCUAAAUAUUGGCGAGAGACCGAUAGCGAACAAGUACCGUGAGGGAAAGAUGAAAAGAACUUUGGAAAGAGAGUUAAACAGUAC